CGGGUGAGUAACACGUGGAUAACCUACCUAUAAGACUGGGAUAACUUCGGGAAACCGGAGCUAAUACCGGAUAAUAUAUUGAACCGCAUGGUUCAAUAGUGAAAGACGGUUUUGCUGUCACUUAUAGAUGGAUCCGCGCUGCAUUAGCUAGUUGGUAAGGUAACGGCUUACCAAGGCAACGAUGCGUAGCCGACCUGAGAGGGUGAUCGGCCACACUGGAACUGAGACACGGUCCAGACUCCUACGGGAGCAGCAGCA
rnacentral:rRNA from 1 species